rnacentral:rRNA from 2 species
AGUCGAGCGCAGGAAGUUCACAGAAGCCUUCGGGUGGACGUGAAUGGAAUGAGCGGCGGACGGGUGAGUAACACGUGGGCAACCUGCCCUGCAGACCGGGACAACCUCGUGAAAACGAGGCUAAUACCGGAUGACCACUGGCACCGCAUGGUGCCAAUGUAAAAGUGGGGAUUUAUCCUCACACUGCAGGAUGGGCCCGCGGCGCAUUAGCUGGUUGGUGGGGUAAUGGCUCACCAAGGCAACGAUGCGUAGCCGACCUGAGAGGGUGAUCGGCCACACUGGGACUGAGACACGGCCCAGACUCCUACGGGAGGCAGCAGUAGGGAAUCAUCCGCAAUGGGCGAAAGCCUGACGGUGCAAUGCCGCGUGAACGAUGAAGGUUUUCGGAUCGUAAAGUUCUGUUAUGAGGGAAGAACAAGUGCCGUUUGAAUAAGGCGGCACCUUGACGGUACCUCACGAGAAAGCCCCGGCUAACUACGUGCCAGCAGCCGCGGUAAUACGUAGGGGGCAAGCGUUGUCCGGAAUUAUUGGGCGUAAAGCGCGCGCAGGCGGUCUCUUAAGUCUGAUGUGAAAGCCCACGGCUCAACCGUGGAGGGUCAUUGGAAACUGGGAGACUUGAGUGUAAGAGAGGAAAGUGGAAUUCCACGUGUAGCGGUGAAAUGCGUAGAUAUGUGGAGGAACACCAGUGGCGAAGGCGACUUUCUGGCUUACAACUGACGCUGAGGCGCGAAAGCGUGGGGAGCAAACAGGAUUAGAUACCCUGGUAGUCCACGCCGUAAACGAUGAGUGCCAGGUGUUAGGGGUUUCGAUACCCUUAGUGCCGAAGUUAACACAUUAAGCACUCCGCCUGGGGAUUACGGCCGCAAGGCUGAAACUCAAA